rnacentral:rRNA from 1 species
GACGGAGCAAGACCGCGUGAGGGAGGAAGGUCUGUGGAUUGUAAACCUCUUUUCUCAGGGAAGAAGAUCUGACGGUACCUGAGGAAUCAGCAUCGGCUAACUCCGUGCCAGCAGCCGCGGUAAUACGGAGGAUGCAAGCGUUAUCCGGAAUUAUUGGGCGUAAAGCGUCCGUAGGUGGCUUUACAAGUCAGUUGUUAAAACGUGGAGCUUAACUCCAUACAGGCAAUUGAAACUGUGAAGCUAGAGUGCGGUAGGGGUAAGGGGAAUUCCCAGUGUAGCGGUGAAAUGCGUAGAUAUUGGGAAGAACACCGGUGGCGAAAGCGCCUUACUGGACCUGCACUGACACUGAGGGACGAAAGCUAGGGGAGCG